GAAAGCUAAAGUUUCAAACCCACCAGGUUUUUAAGUAGAUAAUAAUUUGUUCCACCUGGAUGACUUGUUAACUCAUUAUUGCAGAAAAUCUGCUAAUUAAUGAGAUCAAUAAUUAAUUAAUUAAUUAAUCAGCAUACAAGCUGAUGUUAUAUCCCAUAAAACUAAAAUUUCAACGUUUAUCUCUUAUGAUUCAUUGAUCGCCACUGAAUGAAGACCUAUUAACACAGAGAUAUAUAAUACCCAGUAUAAAGAGGACAGAAAAAGCAAAGUGGUCCAAAUAUAUUAGUGGCCCUACUAUAUUUUAAUACAUAUUCAUUAAACAGUAGUCAAACAACACCUGGAUGAUUUACAUCUCCACAGAUUCUAAUAUGUAAAACCAGCGGAAACUUUAAUUCAAUGAGCAUCCAGGCUUUCUAUUAAAUAUUCAGAGUUUUUGUUACUCAAAGAACAACACUGUCAUGUCAAAUGUAGUACAUUUAAGAAUGUACAGUAUAUUUAUGUUACAUUGGCAAAAAAAAAAAUAUGAAAAUGUUCUGCUCCACUUUAUAUAUGAGAAAUAUUUUUGGGUGCAUGUUUAUGAAACAUGAAAAAAAAAAAAAAAGGAGAAAUCCGCACACCAGUUCAAGGUCCAUUAAAAACUACUUCACUGUGACAACAAAAUACCAAAGUACACUAACAAAAAUGUAAUUUUGCGCAAACCAAGUUGCUUCAGUAUAACUUCCAAAAUACAAUGACAAAUGACAAAAACAACAUAUAAAAUUACAUACAUAUCAAUAACACCUCAAAAUAGUAUGAAGGAAUUGUUCAAAACAGAAAGGACACUUUUGAGCAGUAACACCUGUCUGAAAAAAGCAUACACUUAAAACUUAACACUUAUUCAGAUUCCUUUUAAUCCUGUAUGUCUGUCAAAACUGUAUUUCUAAACUGAAAAUCAAGUGGUAAACAGAGUGAACAAAAAUCCAUCAAUGCAUAAGUUUAAACUGGUGAUGUUAAUGAUUGUAAACAAUCACAAUUGUUUGUUAAUGGGAAGCCCAGGUGAUGCAAAUCUGUGCCAAUGCUCAUCUUUAAAAUGCCUGGUUAGAUUGGCAAACUGAAUGGUUGAACCUGUGGUCAAAAUGGUUUAUUUACUUAUUAUUUUGUUGUAUCUAUAUCAUCCAUAUAGUGAAGUGUUCUGUUCCCCAAUUGAACGUGACUUGCACAUGUCUGACUGGAGCGAUGCUGGGCAUGUACUGCAAGAAAACAAAGGACAGCCUGAACAUGAUGACAACAAAGACCAUUUUGAGAAGUCUAAUUCUAAAAUGGAGAAACCAAAUUUUAGGUCAUCUGAGGAGUCUACUUUUAAACCUGAGAAUUUAAAUGUUUUUGUGGAACCCAGUUUUUCCCUUCAAUCUGAGAAGUUAAGUCCUCUAUCCAGUUCUAAGUCAAGUUCUCCUUUCCCUGAGAAAUCAAGCAUUUACUUCUCAAAGACCAGUUCUAAACCUGAGAAACCUAGUGUUCCUAUGGAACCCAGUUUUAAACCUGAGAAAC